UACGUAGGGUGCAAGCGUUAAUCGGAAUUACUGGGCGUAAAGCGUGCGCAGGCGGUUUUGUAAGUCAGAUGUGAAAUCCCCGGGCUUAACCUGGGAACCGCGUUUGAAACUACAAGGCUAGAGUGUGGCAGAGGGGGGUGGAAUUCCACGUGUAGCAGUGAAAUGCGUAGAGAUGUGGAGGAACACCGAUGGCGAAGGCAGCCCCCUGGGUCAACACUGACGCUCAUGCACGAAAGCGUGGGGAGCAAACAGG
rnacentral:rRNA from 1 species